GACGAACGCUGGCGGCGUGCUUAACACAUGCAAGUCGAACGGAAAGGCCCUGCUUUUGUGGGGUGCUCGAGUGGCGAACGGGUGAGUAACACGUGAGUAACCUGCCCUUGACUUUGGGAUAACAUCAGGAAACAGGGGCUAAUACCGGAUAGGAGCUCCUGCUGCAUGGUGGGGGUUGGAAAGUUUCGGCGGUUGGGGAUGGACUCGCGGCUUAUCAGCUUGUUGGUGGGGUAGUGGCUUACCAAGGCUUUGACGGGUAGCCGGCCUGAGAGGGUGACCGGCCACAUUGGGACUGAGAUACGGCCCAGACUCCUACGGGAGGCAGCAGUGGGGAAUAUUGCACAAUGGGCGGAAGCCUGAUGCAGCAACGCCGCGUGCGGGAUGACGGCCUUCGGGUUGUAAACCGCUUUCGCCUGUGACGAAGCGUGAGUGACGGUAAUGGGUAAAGAAGCACCGGCUAACUACGUG
rnacentral:rRNA from 1 species